rnacentral:rRNA from 1 species
GAUGAACGCUGGCGGCGUGCCUAAUACAUGCAAGUCGAGCGAACGGACGAGAAGCUUGCUUCUCUGAUGUUAGCGGCGGACGGGUGAGUAACACGUGGAUAACCUACCUAUAAGACUGGGAUAACUUCGGGAAACCGUAGCUAAUACCGGAUAAUAUUUUGAACCGCAUGGUUCAAAAGUGAAAGACGGUCUUGCUGUCACUUAUAGAUGGAUCCGCGCUGCAUUAGCUAGUUGGUAAGGUAACGGCUUACCAAGGCAACGAUGCAUAGCCGACCUGAGAGGGUGAUCGGCCACACUGGAACGGGGACACGGUCCAGACUCCUACGGGAGGCAGCAGUAGGGAAUCUUCCGCAAUGGGCGAAAGCCUGACGGAGCAACGCCGCGUGAGUGAUGAAGGUCUUCGGAUCGUAAAACUCUGUUAUUAGGGAAGAACAUAUGUGUAAGUAACUGUGCACAUCUUGACGGUACCUAAUCAGAAAGCCACGGCUAACUACGUG